UUAAGCAUAUCAAUAAGCGGAGGAAAAGAAACCAACAGGGAUUGCUCUAGUAACGGCGAGUGAAGCAGCAAUAGCUCAAAUUUGAAAUCUGGCGUCUUCGACGUCCGAGUUGUAAUUUGUAGAGGAUGCUUCUGAGUAACCACCGACCUAAGUUCCUUGGAACAGGACGUCAUAGAGGGUGAGAAUCCCGUAUGCGGUCGGAAAGGUGCUCUACACGUAGCUCCUUCGACGAGUCGAGUUGUUUGGGAAUGCAGCUCUAAAUGGGAGGUAAAUUUCUUCUAAAGCUAAAUAUUGGCCAGAGACCGAUAGCGCACAAGUAGAGUGAUCGAAAGAUGAAAAGCACUUUGGAAAGAGAGUUAAAAAGCACGUGAAAUUGUUAAAAGGGAAGGGAUUGCAACCAGACUUGCUCGCGGUGUUCCGCCGGUCUUCUGACCGGUCUACUCGCCGCGUUGCAGGCCAGCAUCGUCUGGUGCCGCUGGAUAAGACUUGAGGAAUGUAGCUCCCUCGGGAGUGUUAUAGCCUCUUGUGAUGCAGCGAGCGCCGGGCGAGGUCCGCGCUUCGGCUAGGAUGCUGGCGUAAUGGUCGUAAUCCGCCCGUCUUGAAACACGGACCAAGGAGUCUAACAUCUAUGCGAGUGUUCGGGUGUCAAACCCCUACGCGUAAUGAAAGUGAACGGAGGUGAGAACCGCAAGGUGCAUCAUCGACCGAUCCUGAUGUCUUCGGAUGGAUUUGAGUAAGAGCAUAGCUGUUGGGACCCGAAAGAUGGUGAACUAUGCCUGAAUAGGGUGAAGCCAGAGGAAACUCUGGUGGAGGCUCGCAGCGGUUCUGACGUGCAAAUCGAUCGUCAAAUUUGGGUAUAGGGGCGAAAGACUAAUCGAAC
rnacentral:rRNA from 1 species